rnacentral:misc_RNA from 1 species
UCCCGGUUGGCCCGGGCUGUCUCGCCUGAAAUAUACAACAGACGACAAGGGUUGCGCUCGUUGCGGGACUUAACCCAACAUCUCACGACACGAGCUGACGACGGCCAUGCAGCACCUGUCACUCCGUUCCCCACGCUGCCGGCUAUGUCUUGCGACAUAGUAAGCAAUGUGGGGCACGGCUCCAUUUCUGGUGCUUUCGGAGGAUGUCAAGCCUUGGUAAGGUUCUACGCGUAUCGUCAUAUUAAACCACAUGAUCCACCGCUUGUGCGGGUCCCCGUCAAUUCCUUUGAGUUUUAGCCUUGCGGCCGUACUUCCCAGGCGGCCUACUUAACGCGUUAGCUACUCAACCCAGGGGGUCGAUACCCCAGACUGAUAGUAGGCAUCGUUUACGGCGUGGACU